GAUGAACGCUGGCGGCGUGCUUAACACAUGCAAGUCGAACGAUGAUGCCCAGCUUGCUGGGUGGUUUAGUGGCGAACGGGUGAGUAACACGUGAGUAACCUGCCCUUGACUCUGGGAUAAGCCUGGGAAACUGGGUCUAAUACCGGAUACCACCAUCUGGCGCAUGUCAUGGUGGUGGAAAGCUUUUGUGGUUUUGGAUGGACUCGCGGCUUAUCAGCUUGUUGGUGGGGUAAUGGCCUACCAAGGCGACGACGGGUAGCCGGCCUGAGAGGGUGACCGGGCACACGGGGACUGAGACACGGCCCAGACUCCUACGGGAGGCAGCAGUGGGGAAUAUUGCACAAUGGGCGCAAGCCUGAUGCAGAGACGCCGCGUGAGGGAUGACGGCCUUCGGGUUGUAAACCUCUUUCAGUAGGGAAGAAGCGAAAGUGACGGUACCUGCAGAAGAAGCGCCGGCUAACUACGUG
rnacentral:rRNA from 1 species